rnacentral:rRNA from 1 species
UACAGAGGGUGCAAGCGUUAAUCGGAAUUACUGGGCGUAAGGCGCGCGUAGGUGGUUUGUUAAGUUGGAUGUGAAAUCCCCGGGCUCAACCUGGGAACUGCAUCCAAAACUGGCAAGCUAGAGUAUGGUAGAGGGUGGUGGAAUUUCCUGUGUAGCGGUGAAAUGCGUAGAUAUAGGAAGGAACACCAGUGGCGAAGGCGACCACCUGGACUGAUACUGACACUGAGGUGCGAAAGCGUGGGGAGCAAACAGG